UCUCUGAUAGCUAAGUUGGUAAAGAAUCUGUCUGCAAUGCAGGAGACCUUGGUUAAAUUCCUGGGUCAGGAA
rfam:Ovis aries breed Texel chromosome 9, whole genome shotgun sequence.